rnacentral:rRNA from 1 species
AGGACGAACGCUGGCGGCGUGCUUAACACAUGCAAGUCACGGGGGCCCCGUAGCAAUACGGGCAACCGGCGAACGGGUGCGUAACACGUGAGCAAUCUGCCGAUCUCUGGGGGGAUAGCCAGCCUAACGGCUGGGUAAUACCGCAUACGCUCGUUGGGGGGAGUCCCCUGAUGAGGAAACCUCUGGGGAGAGUCGAGGAGCUCGCGACCUAUCAGCUAGUUGGCGGGUAACGGCCCACCAAGGCAGCGACGGGUA